rnacentral:lncRNA from 1 species
GGACAGAUGAGACACACGUGUGUUUAUCUGCUGCAGAGAGACUGAUGAAGCAAUGCUGCCGUCACAGGCUUUGAGUGAGUACACUACAGAAAUGCAUAAAACAUUUUAAAUCUUAAGUUUAUUUUUAUUGUUGUAAUUUUAAACAACUAUUACAGCACUUUUCUUGUUCUUGAUUCCUGUGCAUUUGCUGCAGAUCUUUUGUGGUGGAGCAGGACCUGCAAGGAAAGGUGACGUUUGUGGAAAAAAAGGGAAAACCUGAAACAAAAGGAUAUAAAGUAAGAUCAUUUUGUUACUUCUAAUACAGAGAUCAGAUGACAUUAUGGUGUUAAAAUGACUGCUUUUGUUUUGUGUUUGUGCACUUUUGUAGGAUAUGAAAUGUCUGCAGACUGGUGUGAGCAAUGAGGAUGGAGAAGUGCACAGCAGCAUCCUGGAAAUGGUCCAGUGUCACGGAUGAGACGCUCCAUCACUCCAGCUCUGCGUCAUCUGAGCCGGUUGUUGCUGUGGUCUCUUCAUUCUCAGUGACCCCAGAGCCAGCAAGAGCAUCUAGAGAAAGCCCAAAAGACACUGAGGAUGUGAUUUUGGGACCUACAAUCCCCUGAUCAACCUGGAGAAUAGAGCCUUGCUCGAGGACACACUGGUGGUUUUGAACCAGCAACCUUCUGCUCACCAGUUCAGUGGUUUAGCCCACUACAAAAGUAAUAAAGCUACAACAACAAAAAUGCAUGUAAUUGUAAAACUGUUGUUGACUUGUAUAUGUGUGUAUUUAUUGUGAUACUUUUAUUCAUUCCUUUACUCAUUUAUUCAUGUUUCUUAUUGUUGUCAGUUAAUAAAAUAUUAAUAUUUUAUUAAUUAAUGUAUUAAUUGCUUGACUGAAAAUGUAUGUAUUCACAUCGACUGCAUUUGUUCAACUGGUGUAUAUUCAUGUAUAGCUACAGUAUGUCACGACAUAAAUUACAUUUAGCUUGUUUUACUAAAAUUUACUUUAUUGUUAUUAUUGCAUGUAAGUGUUGGGGUGGGCAAAUGAUGCAAUUCAUUCUGGGUUAAUCUUAAUUUUUAAGUAGUAAUACUUACAUUUUUAGAGUAUAAAAUCAACAGUCUUCUCCAAAGGUGAGAUCUUCGAGCAGCUGAUCGAUGUUUGCUUUGUGCAGAUAUUUCAGAGUCGCUGAGAGAAACUGUACUGGACUGUUGAGUUAGUGAUGCUGUGAGGUGUUCCUGCACCUGAUCCACGUUUUUAUUAUUAUAGAACUUAUAAUUACAUAAAAUAUCAGGGUAAGAUGGUUGUAUCUAACAAUGAACAAUCAUAAUAAAACAGUAAACUAAUAUUUAAUGAAUCCAUGAGAUAUUAUACACAGAAAAAAAGCACAGUGACGAGGUUAAAUAUCUUUGAAUAAUUUAUCAUGAUGCUUUUUUUUAGAAGCCUGAGGAAAGAAACAAGCGUUAAAUUCAACAAGAAAGAGAAGAAAACAAAGGAGAUUUUGCUUGUGGAUGAAACAUUUUGCACAUAAAAUAAUUAACAAAAUAUUCCAGAAAUGACGAUUUUGGGUCUUCUUAAUAAAAAAAAGUAAAAAUGCUUUAAGGCUAAAACUUGAUCACAUUAGUGGAGUUAAAAAUAUAAAAAACUUUAACAGUAUUGGCUAAACUACAACCACAAAAUAAAACAGCAGCUGUUUCUGCAACAAGACCACAACAUGGGCAAGUUUCAUCAUUAUCAAGAUACUUAAUUAAACCUGUCACUCAUAUCUGUCAUAUCUUUUAAUUUUGUGCUUGUUUUAACUUCGUAGG